GCAUCCGAUGUGUAUCCUAUCACUAUCAUAGCAACCCACCACGGUGGAUAGGAUUAGCAGUCACCAGGGGGCAAAGUUAUCAAAACCCUUGAAUAAAGAGUUCAGACAGCUAGUAAGUAAGAUAGACAUAGCACCAGAGCCCUGGUCCAUCCUGUGUUGGUGUUCUCUCUGUAUUGUGGGAGCUCAGAGUCUGUUACCACUGUAGACACUGGAGAUGGCAUAGACAAACAAAGGUUCCCUUCAGAGUUCCUGUGCCUGUUUCUGCUCAGACAAUGCUUCCAUUCCUAUUCGUAUCCAAAGCAUCCCCUCCUGAUGGUGCAUCACUGGGAUGGGUGGGUCUGAGUUGCUCAGGAGUAUUGAUGGUAUACCGCCCUUUGCUUCGAGCUUCUAUUGGGACCCCAGGGAGAAUCUUCCUGAGGACAAACACUAGGUUCCCUUGCUAGUGUUUCUCUGUUGGAAGGUAUUCUCCACUGUAGCUAUUUUAGGGUUAGACACCAGUAACUUGUGGCCUGGGAGUCUAGAAGUCUCCCUCUGAUUGUAAUCACUGUUAAUUAACUUGGCUUAGUUUCUAACUGGGUAGGAAGUGUUGCAGGUACAUUUGCUGCUUCUCAGUCAUCCUUUUCCUCUUGGGUUUGUGACCCAUGGCUUUUGAGGGUAGCAUCAUUAAAGUGGUAUAAUUCACUAUUCAUACAUACAUACAUACAUACAUACAUAAUGAAUAUAUAUACUUACAUUUUAAGUGAACAUAACAUAUGGUUCCCUAUGACUUUAAAAAUAUCCUUAGUGUUAUUUAUCUCUUUUUUUUCUCCCUCUGUACUGCCCCUUCCUCCACAACAAAAGUUCUCUUCUCAAGUUUUCCUGAUGUCCUUUCAUAGAGCCUGUGUCCUGCCACCCCACUCUCCAGAGACCCUUCUCCCUCCUGCCCCUAUUCCACUUGUUACCUUUCUACUUUUCUGGUUUCUGUUGUUGCUCAAGGCUAUAUACUCACAUCUAAAGAUUUGGAGAUAAGAUCCACAAACAAGAGAGAAAAUGUGACAUUUGUCUUUCUGGCUAUGGGUUGUCUGCUUCAACAUAGUAUUUUCUAGUUUCAUUUAUUUACAUGAAAAAUCUCAUGAUUUAAUUUCUCUUUACAGGUGAAUGGUAUUCUAUAGUAUAUAGGUUCCACAUUUUCCUUAUCCAUUUAUCGGUUGAAGGACAUUUAGAUUGUUUCCAUCUCUGAGCGACUGUGCAUAGAACAGCAAUGAACUAAGCUGAGCAAGUAGAUAUGGAGAAGGGUGUUGAGUCCUUUGGCUGAUGCUGAGGAGUGGGAUAGCUACGUCAUCUGGUCCACUUUUACCUUUUUGAUAAUUCUUCACACUGAUUUCCAUAGUGGCUGUAACAGUAUGCAAUUCUAGCGACAUUGAGUGAGGGUUCACCACAUCCCGAUGAGCAUCUGUCAAUUGUUUUCACACACAUAUAUGAAAACUGCAAAAAUGGUGAACAUAGAAAGGCACCAAGUAGGAUGGGGGUGUCUCUAGAGUGGGAGUUUGUAGGACACAGGGGCUAUGAAGGGGCAUGAGAAGAGCUAGAGGAGGGGGCUUUUACUGGGGAGGAGGGAGAACAGUAUAGAGGGAGAGAAAAGGGAUAAAUAACACUAAGGAUAUUAUAAUGUAUAUAAAUGAUUCAAUAUAUUCUGAUCACAGUUUCCCCUGCCCCAACUCCUCCCAGAUGACCCCCACCCAUUCAAAUUCAUGCUGUUUCUUUCUUUUUCUCUUCAGAAAACAAAUAAACAGGCAAACAAACAAACCA
rnacentral:lncRNA from 1 species